GGAGUUGCAGCAGAGUCUGCUUUAGGUUGAGAAAGCUGCUGAAUGAUCUAGACUCUGGACUCAUCCGGACUCCUGUGGAUCUGGACUGUGUACUGAUGUGGAUUCAGGUCUGAUGUGGUCUCAGCGGAGUAUUUUCAGGACGAUGUUGGGUUUUUUCUUCGUGGUGCUCUUCUCUUUCUUCCAGGUGAGUUUGAGGGCGUGUCCAGGUGUUGCCAUGGAGAGGAGCUGCAGGUGUUCCCCAUACAUCCUGUUUCCUCCUCCUCCUCCUCCACCUUCUCCUCAUCCUCCUCCUGCUCCUCUCACAGAGCUCACCGUCACAGUGUCUGCUGCUGUUCCAGGUGGGAGCUUUAUAAAUCUGCUGCUCCUGAUCUCCUUUAUUCAUUUAUUCUAAAAGAUUUCUUCACGGCCUGUGAGCAGGAUUUUUGGCCAUGAGUUUUACUGAUGAACUAUUAAGAGGACUGGGCCAUCAGGAGGAGCAGGAGGACUGGACCAUCAGGGGGAGCAGGAGGACUGGACCAUCAGGGGGAGCAGGAGGACUGGACCAUCAGGAGGACUGGACCAUCAGGAGGAUCAGGACUGGACCAUCAUACCAUAUGAGGGCAGGUUUAGUGCCGUGUACAAAGACUCUGACACAUGAACAAGACUGGAGGCGUAACGCCAAAAAAAAAGACUGAAAGAAGAAGAAUUUUGUCAUCAUCAUGUUUAAUUUUAUCAUCGUAAAACGCACUUCAAAGUCGACAGAAACAAAAUAAAACCCACAAAAGUUGUCUCGAUUCAUGUCACUGCUCCAACAUUCACUGGCUCUGAUUUGGUUGA